rnacentral:rRNA from 1 species
CUUUAUUGAAACUUCGGUCGAUUUAAUUUAAUUCUAGUGGCGGACGGGUGAGUAACGCGUGGGUAACCUGCCUUAUACAGGGGGAUAACAGUCAGAAAUGGCUGCUAAUACCGCAUAAGCGCACAGAGCUGCAUGGCUCAGUGUGAAAAACUCCGGUGGUAUAAGAUGGACCCGCGUUGGAUUAGCUAGUUGGUGGGGUAACGGCCCACCAAGGCGACGAUCCAUAGCCGGCCUGAGAGGGUGAACGGCCACAUUGGGACUGAGACACGGCCCAGACUCCUACGGGAGGCAGCAGUGGGGAAUAUUGCACAAUGGGGGAAACCCUGAUGCAGCGACGCCGCGUGAAGGAAGAAGUAUCUCGGUAUGUAAACUUCUAUCAGCAGGGAAGAUAGUGACGGUACCUGACUAAGAAGCCCCGGCUAACUACGUGCCAGCAGCCGCGGUAAUACGUAGGGGGCAAGCGUUAUCCGGAUUUACUGGGUGUAAAGGGAGCGUAGACGGUGUGGCAAGUCUGAUGUGAAAGGCAUGGGCUCAACCUGUGGACUGCAUUGGAAACUGUCAUACUUGAGUGCCGGAGGGGUAAGCGGAAUUCCUAGUGUAGCGGUGAAAUGCGUAGAUAUUAGGAGGAACACCAGUGGCGAAGGCGGCUUACUGGACGGUAACUGACGUUGA